ACGGCUGUGUCCUUAUUCCGCCAAUAAAUUAUCCCCUCGCUCUCAUCCUUGUGUUUUUUUGGGUUAUAGUAGAAGCCAUAAAGGUUAUAAAUAUUUUGAUCCCAGUCUAAUAAAUUUUAUAUUUCGCACCAUGUUGUGUUCAAUGAAUAGAUUUUUCCUUUUGCCAAGUAUGAUGGUGUGGAUACCACUACAUUCUCCAUGACUAAU
rnacentral:lncRNA from 1 species